AUGUAAUGUAUUCACAUCUAUUUGUUUAAAAUCAUGCUUUGUACUGACUGUGGAAACAAAGAAAGUGUAUUGUAAAGGGACAUCUAUAUGUACCAGACAAACCUUUUAAACGAGGGCUAACUUCCACAAACAUUAAUUCCAUGCUCCCAGAGUCCAAUUGCAAGGUUCAUUCUCUAGAAUAUAAUAAAUCACCAUGUAUUCAGAAAGCGAUGAACUUCUUGGGGACCAGUUAUCGGCAUUUUCAGAGAUAAAUGUACGAUUAGGAUUUAUACGAAAAGUGUAUGGAAUUCUGCUAUGUCAGAUAGUGGUCACGCUUUUGGUGAUGGUGAUAUUCAUGUAUGCAGAACCUGUGAAAGAGUAUUCAAUGAAUAAUCCUUGGAUAUGGUAUUCUACUAC